UAAUCGAAAAUAAAAUCUAUUGGCAAUUACUUAGCCAAAACAAACACUUUGUCCUUCUUAAAUGCUUUAAUAACAGUAAACAGUCCGGUCAGUUCAACAACUACAUCCUCUUUUCAAGCGUGUCUGGUGGUUUCCUUCUAAUUUUUUUCUAAUUUUUACAAUUCUGUGGUAGCACUUCCUCUCAGAUUCGCAGUUAAGUUAACUAUCUUACAGCAUAUGAGCAAAACAACCUCAGAAUGAGGACGGCGCAACUUUUACUCUUCUUUCUACUGGCGUGGUGUCAAACUACAGAGAGUUUAACUGAUAAAUGUGUGAAUUUAGGAGAAAACGUGACUUUAGACUGUCAGAUUGAUGUAAAAGAGAUUUACUGGGUUUUCCAGAAACUGACAGACUCUCCGGUGCUGAUACUGCGAACUUUCACAGCAGAAUAUACAUCAUCUCAUGUACAAGACCAAAGACUGAAGGACAAAUAUUCAGGAUUAACUCGGAGCCGUUUAUUUAUUAGUAACAUAACUGUUCAUGAAUUAGGAAUAUAUUAUUGUGCAAAACUAAACAAAACUCUACAGAUCAGCAAUGGCACCAGACUUCACACCAAUGAAUCUGCCCAAGAUCAAAAACAAACAGAAGGCAAACAUCAGGAACAACCAUGUGAGAAAACAUUUCACGAGAUUUUGACUGUUACAUCCAUCCUAAUGAACAUUGUGCUGAUUAUUGCAAUAAUAGGCCUACUCCAGAUCAAACUCCAAGCGUGUAAAAAAAGACACCAACAAUGUCAAGAUGAGAAACUGGAGCAUCUUUACAGCACAAAUGCUGAAGAGUUUUCUGAAGUGGAGUUUCGUCUGUUUCACCCGACCAACAACACUUUUGUUCCUUUUCAAAGCCAAAGACAAGAUUUAGACAAAUAUAAUCAAGAGUAAAUCAUCUCAUACAGUCUAACAGAAGUAUAUUUUGAUAAAUAAUCAUGGGGAAAAAAUUUGUUAGCUUGAUUGUUGUUUAAGAUUGACUGACGUGUAUUACCUGAACAUGUAAUGAAAUAUCAAUAUUGUUCUCAGCAUUACUUCUUUUUACUUUUUUAGUAGCAAUAUAUUCAAGUAAUGUGACGUGCCAUAUAAUGUUUCCUGUGUUCUGAUUGGCUGGACUGGUUGUGGGCAGGCCUGGACUGGUAAUCUGGCAUACCGGGCAUUUUCCCGGUGGGCCGACGCACUGAAGGGGCAGACAGAAUUUUUUUUUUUUUUUUUGCCAAGGACCAUCACUAGCAGCCAGUGGCCCAUUGGUUUGUUUCCUGAAUUGACAGCGUAAACCACCCAAUCACAAUGCGCUAUAGACGGCGCUAUGAAGUGUUUUGCUCCGCCUAUAUAAAGAACGCUUCACCCCAACUUCUUCGUCGUCGGCUUUUCCCACGUUUUCACAGCAGCUUUAUCAAGAACAGGCUUGCUCUGCGAUGAGUGAUGCGGCGUAAAGAGCCAGGCAGGAGGAGGAGAGGAGAGCAGUUGAAUCGAAGCAGUUUUGCUCAGAUUGGUGUGAACUAUUUACUGUAUAUCCUCUAAACAACCACAGAAUGAGGACAGUGCAGCUUUUAGUCUUCGGUAAGUUACUCAGUUUUUAUGAUUUUAUUGGUUUUGUAAGGAUUGAAUAGUUUAAAAAAGUGAAUUUGUUCAGUGUUAAAUUAUACAGAAUAAUCUGAUCUGUGUGUUUCUUCACAGGUCUGCUGGUGUGUCAAAAUACAGAGCGUUUAACUGAUAAAUGGGUGAAAACGUGACUUUAGACUGUCAGAUUGGUGUAAGAGACAUUUACUGGGUUUUCCAGAAACUGACCGAUUCUCCGGAGCUGAUACUGCGAACUUUCUCAUUAGAUUCUACACGAUCUCACGUAGACCAAAGACUAAAAGACAAAUAUUCAUCACUAACUUUUAGCCAUUUACUUAUUAGGAAUGUAACUAUUAAUGAAUUAGGAAUAUAUUAUUGUGCAAAACUAAACAGAAGUCUACAGCUCUGAAAUGGCAUCAGACUUUACAUCACUGAAGAAGCUGCUCGAAAUCACAAUCAGACAGAACUGAAAAAUAACUCAUAAUGUCCGAAUACAC